AACGUAGGGGGCGAGCGUUAUCCGGAUUUAUUGGGCGUAAAGAGCACGUAGGUGGUGCUAUAAGUUGGGCGUGAAAGCUCUUGGCUUAACUGGGAGAGGCCGUUCAAUACUGUAGUGCUUGAGGUUGGAAGAGGAGAGUAGAAUUCCCGGUGUAGUGGUGGAAUGCGUAGAUAUCGGGAGGAAUACCAGUGGCGAAAGCGACUCUCUGGUCCACACCUGACACUGAGGUGCGAAAGCGUGGGUAGCAAACGGG
rnacentral:rRNA from 1 species